GAUGAACGCUGGCGGCGUGCCUAAUACAUGCAAGUCGAGCGAACAGAUAAGGAGCUUGCUCCUUUGAAGUUAGCGGCGGACGGGUGAGUAACACGUGGGUAACCUACCUAUAAGACUGGGAUAACUUCGGGAAACCGGAGCUAAUACCGGAUAACAUUUAGAACCGCAUGGUUCUAAAGUGAAAGAUGGUUUUGCUAUCACUUAUAGAUGGACCCGCGCCGUAUUAGCUAGUUGGUAAGGUAACGGCUUACCAAGGCGACGAUACGUAGCCGACCUGAGAGGGUGAUCGGCCACACUGGAACUGAGACGCGGUCCAGACUCCUACGGGAGGCAGCAGUAGGGAAUCUUCCGCAAUGGGCGAAAGCCUGACGGAGCAACGCCGCGUGAGUGAUGAAGGGUUUCGGCUCGUAAAACUCUGUUAUUAGGGAAGAACAAAUGUGUAAGUAACUGUGCACAUCUUGACGGUACCUAAUCAGAAAGCCACGGCUAACUACGUG
rnacentral:rRNA from 1 species